rnacentral:rRNA from 1 species
UACCAGCACCCCGAGUGGUCGGGACGUUUAUUGGGCCUAAAGCAUCCGUAGCCGGUUCUACAAGUCUUCCGUUAAACUCCAGCUGCUUAACAGAUGGGCUGCGGAAGAUACUAUGGAGCUAGGAGGCGGGAGAGGCAAGCGGUACUCGAUGGGUAGGGGUAAAAUCCGUUGAUCCAUUGAAGACCACCAGUGGCGAAGGCGGCUUGCCAGAACGCGCUCGACGGUGAGGGAUGAAAAGCUGGGGGAGCAAACC